rnacentral:rRNA from 1 species
AAAAACAUAGCCUUUAGCCAAACAAGUAUUAAAGGUUUAGCCUGCCCAGUGAACCACUUCAACGGCCGCGGUAUCCUAACCGUGCAAAGGUAGCGUAAUCAUUUGUCCCCUAAAUAGAGACUUGUAUGAACGGCCAACUGAGGGCCUAACUGUCUCCUUAAACCAAUCAAUGAAACUGAUCUUUCAGUACAAAAGCUGAAAUAAACACAUAAGACGAGAAGACCCUGUGGAGCUUAAAACCUAUACUAUAAACCCCUUAAAUCUAUUAGGCCUAAUAGUAAAAAUUUUCAGUUGGGGCGACUUUGGAACAAAACAAAACUUCCAUGCCAGGAACUUCUUCCUGUUAAGGCAGACAUGCCAAAACAAUACUAUUUUGACCCAGCCAGUCUGAUCAACGAACCAAGUUACCCCAGGGAUAACAGCGCCAUCCUCUUCAAGAGUCCCUAUCGACAAGAGGGUUUACGACCUCGAUGUUGGAUCAGGACACCCAGGUGGUGCAGCCGCUACCAAAGGUUCGUUUGUUCAACGAUUAAUAGU